GAAAUCCAAAUAGAACCAAGUAAAGAAAAGAAGGAAGCAUGGAGGUGCCUCAAAAACAACAGGGUAUGGGUUCAAGGUGAGAGGAAGGUGUUCUGAUGAAGAUCUGAGGGAUGUAAACCUCGUGGAGACACAGGAGACUGCAGACGCUGG